AUCUUCUUCAUAUGAACGAAAUCAGCAAGGGGAGAAGCCAUAGUUAGGGUUUUCAAGCUUCCAAGCUCCAUAAUUCCAUGAUGACUUGCUGCCAUUGCUGAUCAUGUAGAAGUUUUAAGCCAAGCCUUAAAGCGUAGGCUUUAGCUGCUAAUACUGAGGAAGAAGAUACAUCCAUGAUGGUCACAAGCUAGGGAAGCUAUUCCAACAUUUCAAAAAGUGGAGGAGAGAGUUCCAUCAUAAUUAAUCUUUAAGCUAUCUUCCAGUAGGAUUUAAGUAGAAUCUUGAGAUCGAGGGAGGCUGACCCGUGCUUUUGGGGGAUUUUUUGAAUUAAAAAAAGAAUAACCUUGGAAGGCUCUAUUCCAAACUUGAAAUGAUUCUUUUGAUUUUCUUUCGAAUAUGCUAAUGUCACGGGCCUUCUAAAUUUCUUAGAAAAUGAAGGUCACAAGAUUAGGGCUAAGAAUAGAAUUUGAUGAUGCAAACUUGACUUGAAUACAGAUCCGACAUUGUGUAAAGGAGGGAAAAUCUACAAGAUUCUUCGAGUCAUAAUGAAAAACCGAAACUUACCAUGUGGCAUAGGUAUUUGAGAGACUUCGAUGUCUUCUAACUAAAUUUUCAUUAGAAGCGACCGCAUUGAGACAAGUGCUUAGUUUUUGGGGAGCAAGUUAAAAUUCCAAAUUGAAGCCCAUUCUUGUUUCUUUAAGAUAAGUGAAUCUACACCUCAUGAUUACCUCCACCUCAUGAGUGUUGAAUGUUUCAAUUCACCUUUCCCUUUCAUUAUUCGAGGAGAGAUGUCUAACCAAGUGAAAACCAUGAUUCGAGACUUGGAAGUUAGGAAGUGAUGGGAUCCAUUUAUCCACCCCAACUAUAAAUAAGAUUACGAUUCCCCACAUUCCAUCAGGUGCAACAGCUCGAUUUUUAGUGAUGUCGGAAACAGUGGUUCGAGGCCAUCAAAUUUGGUGAGUAAACUCGUAAAUUUUAUUAUUUAAUAUUUACGAGUCAAAUAUGGUUUUAAAAAUUUUGAAUUAGUAAUUUAUGAAUUAUUAGAUUCGAGUGAUAAAACUCUAGUUCAAGUGGUUUUAGAAAAUGAGGUAUUGGGACAUCGUUUCUAUAAAUCGAGUCGUAAAUAUUUUUAUAAAUAUUUACGGAGUUCCAUUAAAGUAUUAUUAAAGUUUCGUUGGAAAAUUUUAACGUUUCGAUAGUUAAUUAAUAAAAAAGGACUAAACUGAAAAAGGUGCAUAACUUGCUAAUUAUAAUACUAAAGUGACUAAAUGGCUUGACUAAUAAAUAAGGAGGGAAUUAAGUGAUAAAUAUGCCUAAAUCAAUGGAUGAGGCAGCAUAUGAAUAAAAUAAAAUAAAAUAAAAAGAAACAAUGGCAAAAUUGUAAUUAUGUUGAAAUUAAUAAGACAAAUUGAAAUUUAAAAGCAUUCUAGGCUUUUCUUCUCCAGUUUUCGGUUUAAAACAGAGAAGGGAGAGAGCUCAAGCUGGUUUUCAUAUUUUUUUGUAGGUAAGUUCAAUUUAGCCCCAUUUUCAAUAAUUUUUAUGUUUUUGAGAUUGUUACAAUUAGGUUCAACUAAAUCUUACUCUAGUUUUUUAUUUUGUUAAAUAUUUUGAAUGUUGCCAUUGAUGAAUCUAUAUGAUUUUAGUUAUUAAAUGAUAAAUUUUAGAUGUUGGUUGAUAUUUAAAGGUAUUUUAUUAAGUAAUUUUGAUGAAUUUUUAUUAGGGACUAAUUUGUUGAAAUAGUAAAAAUACAAGGAUUUGUUGUGAAAUUAUUGAAAAUUUUGGCUGUAUUGAAUGCCAUGAAUAUUCUGCUAGCAUGAUUUUGCAUUAAAAAUGGUUAAUUUGCAUGAUUUGGGCUCAUGGACUAAAUUGAAUAAAAGUAAAGCUUUAGGGGUAAUUUUGUAAAAAUGUUAAAAAUGACCAAAUUGCAUGAAAUGAAUUGUUUUAUUAUUUAAAUUAAUAAAUUGAAUGAAAUAUUAAUUUAGAUCAAGAUCGGGUGGAAAAUCGAGGGAAAUAGAAAAUUACCAAAAUGCCUCUGUAUCUUAGUAUUUAUGCAAUUUAGCCUGGUAAGUUCGUAUGAACUGUAUUCUGUAUAAUUUUGAUUAAAAUGAAUUUUAUUUGAUGAUGGAUAUUAUAUAUGUGUGUGUUCUAUUGUUGGAAUUAAAUUGUUAUUGAAAAUAUACUAUCAAAUUUAAUACUCAGUUUGGAUUGAACGCGGGAUUGAGUUAAAUCGUUCUGUCGCAAAUGAUGAAUUGAGGAAUAAGACCAUAACUAGGUUAUGGCACUAUGAACGUAAGACCAUGGUUGGACCAUGGCAGUGUUUAUAUGUAAGACCGUAGCUGGGCUAUGGCAUUCUGAUGAUAAGACCAUAACUGGGUUAUGGCACUAUAACCGUAAGACCAUGGUUGGACCAUGGCAAUAUUUAUAUGUAAGACCAUAGCCGGGCUAUGACAUUCUGAUGAUAAGACCAUAACUGGGUUAUGGCACUACGAAUGUAAAUGAUGAAUUGACGAAAAAAAUGUAAAGGAUGAAUUGAAGGAAAAUUACCCAAGUAAACCGAGGUUCAGCAUUUGUUGCAAACUUUCGUGUUUACUUUCUGUUUAGCUCUCAUGAGCUUCUGUUUAGCCUUCGGGCUUCUAAAAAUGAUGUACUCAAAUCUGUAAGUCGUUCUUCGAAAGGUAAAAUGUCGAGAGUUGUCUUAAAUGAUAUAUAUUUGUAUAUGAAGAAAUGGUAAGAGAAUGAUAUGUAUUAUGAUAUGUAUUUAUAUCAAUAUCUUGAUAUGUUGAUAUAUGGAAAUUAUGUAAGUUGAGACAAGUAAUAAACUCAAGUGUAAUAUGUUGAGAUAGUAAGGUUAUUGAUGUUGAAAUUAUAUGAAAUAUGUUCAAGUACGCUAACAAGUGUUCUUGUUUGAUGCUUAGGGAAAUGCCAAGCUAUUGGUUGAACGGUAAUAUGCUUAAUUAUAAAAUGCAUUGAAAUGGUAAGUGCUCAAAUGAAAAUAUGUUUGUGUUCAUGAAAGAGUGGUAAGUUUAAAGUUAUGUAAUUUCUUAUGAAAGACUUAUUAUAUGAUUAAUUCGAAAAAGGCUAUGUUUAAAUGCAUUAGCUUGUGGCUAUGGUUGAAUGAUAUGUUUAUGAUUGGUGUGUUAUGCAUAUGGAAUGGGUGUAGAAAAUAAAGAAAUGCAAGUGAAAAUAAAGAAAUUUAGAAGAGUAUAAAGUUGUUUAAAAUCCUAUUAUGCUAGGGAUAAUAUGUACAAGUGAUGAUGUGGAUUUAUUUACCUUGUGAGUUGAUGAAUAUAGCCACAUGAGUAUUGUGGUAUCAAUAUUAAAUUAUUCUUGAUAUUUAUAAAUUUCAUAUUUGAAAUGAAUGGACCUGAUUAAAUUUUAUACGAGCUUACUAAGCAUUUAUUGCUUACGUAUUUGUUUUUCUUUACUUUUCAGAUUAUCGGAAGCUCAAUUGGGUUGGAAGCUUGUCGGAGAUAUAUCACACUAUCCAUUGGUUCUAUUGGUAUUUUCGAAUGUUUUGAUUUUGAUUAUAAUGGCAUGUAUAGGUAUUUUGUUUAAUGAUGGUUUAUAUGUAGUGUGUUGAGUUUAGCCACUUAUUUUGGCUUGUUUUGAAUGUCCAAUUAUGGCUUGUUGAUAUAUGUAAUGUUGAUUGUAGAUAGACACAAAAUUGGUGAGAAAUAUGGCUUGUAAAAUGGUCUAUUUUUGUUCACACGGGCAGAGACACGGGCAUGUGUCCCCUACUUCUAAGAAAACUUUUGAAAUUUUGGGAAAAAUUCCCUGAA